CCUACGGGCGGCUGCAGUGGGGAAUAUUGCACAAUGGGGGAAACCCUGAUGCAGCGACGCCGCGUGAGUGAAGAAGUAAUUCGUUAUGUAAAGCUCUAUCAGCAGGGAAGAAAAUGACGGUACCUGAGUAAGAAGCCCCGGCUAACUACGUGCCAGCAGCCGCGGUAAUACGUAGGGGGCAAGCGUUAUCCGGAUUUACUGGGUGGAAAGGGAGCGUAGACGGCAGUGCAAGUCUGGAGUGAAAGGCGGGGGCUCAACCCCCGGACUGCUCUGGAAACUGUACGGCUGGAGUGCAGGAGAGGUAAGUGGAAUUCGUAGUGUAGCGGUGAAAUGCGUAGAUAUUAGGAGGAACACCAGUGGCGAAGGCGGCUUACUGGACUGUAACUGACGUUGAGGCUCGAAAGCGUGGGGAGCAAACAGGAUUAGAUACCCCUGUAGUC
rnacentral:rRNA from 1 species